rnacentral:rRNA from 1 species
AGUUUGAUCCUGGCUCAGGACGAACGUUGGCGGCGUGCUUAAUACAUGCAAGUCAACUGAAGCACCGGUAGUAAUACUGGUGUGGAGGUGGCGCACGGGUGAGUAACACGUAGGUAAUCUGCCUUCAGGUCUGACAUAACCCCGAGAAAUCGGGGCUAAUAGCAGAUGAUGCAGCGGCUUGACAUCAAGACAGUUGUUAAAGCUUCGGCGCCUGAAGAUGAGCCUGCGUCUGAUUAGCUAGUUGGCGGAGUAACAGCCCACCAAGGCUACGAUCAGUAGCUGGUCUGAGAGGAUGAUCAGCCACACUGGAACUGAGACACGGUCCAGACUCCUACGGGAGGCAGCAGUAAGGAAUAUUGCUCAAUGGGAGAAAUCCUGAAGCAGCAACGCCGCGUGAGGGAUGAAGGGCUUUUGCUUGUAAACCUCUGUAGUGAGAGAAAAAAACUCCAAUCUUUGGAGCAUGAUGGUAUCUCAAAAGUAAGCCCCGGCUAACUACGUGCCAGCAGCCGCGGUAAUACGUAGGGGGCAAACGUUGUCCGGAUUUACUGGGUGUAAAGGGUGCUCAGGCGGUCUUGUAAGUUAGAAGUGAAAUCCUAGGGCUCAACUCUGGAACUGCUUUUAAUACUGCAAGGCUUGAAUAUGGAAGAGGAGGGUGGAAUUUCUGGUGUAGCAGUGAAAUGCGUAGAUAUCAGAAAGAACACCAGUGGCGAAGGCGGCCCUCUGGUCCAUUAUUGACGCUAAAGCACGAAAGCGUGGGGAGCAAACAGGAUUAGAUACCCUGGUAGUCCACGCCUUAAACGAUGAAUACUAGACGUUGGGGUCAAACUCAGUGUCGCAGCUAACGCAUUAAGUAUUCCACCUGGGGAGUACGAUCGCAAGGUUGAAACUCAAAGGAAUUGACGGGGGCCCGCACAAGCAGUGAGCAUGUGGUUCAAUUCGAUGCAACGCGAAGAACCUUACCUAGGCU